AAAGGAGAACUUGGGCUUGGGUUGUUGCAGGAAGAAAGAGAGAGAGAGAGAGCACAAAGAGAUAAGACUUGGGUGAAGAGCCUCAUGCUAAUUCCCCCUAAUAAUCCCUAAAAGAGUUUUCACGCUUUUCCGUCCACUCUGCCUGCUCCGCCCUCUCAACCGUGGACAAAGUCAUCAAAGCACUCCGUGCCAACUAACCAGGUGGCUUCCGGUUGAGGUGGGCUACAUUAUCCCAUCGGAUUCGCCUAGGCAGUCUCCCUGUCAGCUUGCCCUAGAGUGCCAAAGAGUUUGGUUUUCAGUUGGGAUCAAGCGAUUCGUUUCCUCUGUGCUCCGGGAUCAGUGAUCUGGCCACCAUCCUUCCCUGAAUUGAGCCUAGUGGUUUGCAGCCUGCUCUGAGACCCGAUUUUCAGCUAUUCAUUCACUCUCCUGCCUCUUCUGUAGAUCGUGCAUCUUAAGAGCCGCUAUGGUUCAGUUUGGAAAUGACAGAGAGAAAAACGGGGCCAGCCGGCGCAACUCAAGAAACACUCCAGAGAAUGUUCAUCUCCAGAAGAGUAGAGGCUGAAGGAAAAUCAGAUGAUGGUUGGGUUUGGAGAAAACAAAUCCAGCUACUGGUUAAGAUGAAACUGUUCUGGACCCAAGGCUCAGUCUGGAGCCUCUGGUCCAGGAUUUUGGAGGGCAAGAAAAGAAAAUUUGGUGGGGAGGAGGAGGGAUUUUUCCUGGUGCUACAUUCUUGAAAAACUUAGGCUCAUGUAAAACAGCCUGUCCUCCUAAAAGGACAACGAUGGCUCUCCCUCCUUGGGUCUUCAAGGCCCAAGGGGUGAGGAGGGAGAGAGUAGCUUCAGGCCGAACUCUCCUAUUUGAUCCAUCAUCUCCCAUCCUGCCUACUCUGGUGU